AUCGAACGCUGGCGGCAGGCCUAACACAUGCAAGUCGAACGAGUGGCGGACGGGUGAGUAAUGUCUGGGAAACUGCCUGAUGGAGGGGGAUAACUACUGGAAACGGUAGCUAAUACCCCAUACCAUCAGAUGUGCCCAGAUGGGAUGGGCUAGUUGGUGGGGUAAAGGCUUACCCAGGCGACGAUCGCUAGCGGGGCUGAGAGUAUGAACAGCCACACUGUAACUGAGACACGGUCCAGACACCUACGGGAGGCAGCAGUGGGGAAUAUUGCACAAUGGGCGAGAGCCUGAUACAGCCAUGCCGCGUGUAUGAAGAAGGCCUUCGGGUUGGAAAGUAAUUUCAGCGGGGAGGCGUUACCCGAAGAAGAAGCACCGGCUAACUCCGUGCCAGCAGCCGCGGUAAUAC
rnacentral:rRNA from 1 species